UACGGAGGGAGCUAGCGUUGUUCGGAAUUACUGGGCGUAAAGCGCACGUAGGCGGCUUUGUAAGUUAGAGGUGAAAGCCCGGGGCUCAACCCCGGAAUUGCCUUUAAGACUGCAUCGCUUGAAUCCGGGAGAGGUGAGUGGAAUUCCGAGUGUAGAGGUGAAAUUCGUAGAUAUUCGGAAGAACACCAGUGGCGAAGGCGGCUCACUGGCCCGGUACUGACGCUGAGGUGCGAAAGCGUGGGGGAGCAAACAGG
rnacentral:rRNA from 1 species